AAGGCGCCGGAGCUCCUGAGGCGAUUUUGCCGCCAUCAAAAAAUCGAUUCAGCACCUUAAGUUUUAUUAAAAUAUAGCAAAAAAGGGUCUCUCAAACUUCAGAGAAACCUUUGACCCUGCGCCAUGAGUGAGGCAGAGAGGACCACACCGUGGUGCAGGCGUUCCUCUGCAGGGUCUCUGGCAAGGACCUGCUGGCCAUGGCACUGCUGGCUGCCCGCGAGCGAUGCAACCCCCUGCCCUGUGAGUCCUUAAUUAACGAAGCCCUGCCUUAAUUAGAGCCCUAACACCCUCCCAGCCAAUUAGGGGUCCUAAUGAUGCCCCCAGUAAUUAAGUGGGGGCCCUAAUGAAGCCCCUUUAAUGAACCGGGGGGGCGCUAAUGAAGCAGGGGGUUCUCAGGAUAUUCUUGUUAAUGAAAUGUGGGGCUCUAAUUAAGCAAGGAGCCCUAAUGACGCCUCCAUUAAUGAAGUAGGGAACCUUAAUGACACCCCGCUAAUGAAGUGAGAGGCCUUAAUGAUGCUCCUGCUAAUGAAGUGGGGGCUCUAAUGAAUCCCCCCCAAUGAAGUGGGGAGCCCCAAGGAUGCCCCUGCUAACGAAGCAGGGCCCUAAUUAACCCCAGAGGUGUCAAACCCCAAACCCUCAGAGUCCUGCUCCCAAAUUGCUCAGAUCUCAUUACCCAAAAUCCCUGAUUCCCACCCAAAAUCCCACUACCCAAAAUCCC